CAAAUCAUAAUUUAAAGGUGCACUAUGAGUUCCUGCCUGGUUUUGGCGCAAUUUCAUUUUUGUCUCAAAUCGUAGGCCUUUCUUCUUGAUCCACUAGCUGCUUGCUCCCUGAAUACACCGUGAAAAAUCCCGGUCUUGGGAGACAACACAGGGGUUGUAAACGUCAAACAAACACUAGGGGCACAGGCUGUGCACCAAAAUACAACAAAGCAGGUUUUUCGCAAUGUGUUCAGGAAGCAGGCCGCUAGCGGAUCAGGGAGAGAGGCCUACGAUUUGAGACAACAAUGAAAUCGUGCUGAAACCAUGCAGGAACUCAUUGUGCACCUUUAACUGAGUGAACACACACA